rnacentral:lncRNA from 1 species
AUAACACACAACCCUUCAUCCUUCAAACAUGACCCGAAAGUCCCCGACUUUUGACGACAACGACGACAUCAAAGGGGCCAAACCAGACCCAUUGCAAAAUACCAUCAACCUUCACUCUUAAUCAUCUUUCUUCUUCCCCUUGACAUCAGGUGCCGUUUCUUCUGCUUUCUCCUCAGCAGGUGCUUCUGCUUCUUUUACUGUAUCACUCUUGGUUGCAGCAGGUGCCUCUGCCUCAGACUUCUCCCCAACACUCAAUUUAUCGAGAAGCCCAGCAGCUUCAGUAGCUUCCUUGCUUUCUUCUUCUGGACUCUGGGAUUCGGCAACUUCUUGAAACUUCUCCAUGAACAAUUU